rnacentral:rRNA from 1 species
GUGGGGAAUCUUGCGCAAUGGGCGAAAGCCUGACGCAGCCAUGCCGCGUGAAUGAUGAAGGUCUUAGGAUUGUAAAAUUCUUUCACCGGGGACGAUAAUGACGGUACCCGGAGAAGAAGCCCCGGCUAACUUCGUGCCAGCAGCCGCGGUAAUACGAAGGGGGCUAGCGUUGCUCGGAAUUACUGGGCGUAAAGGGCGCGUAGGCGGAUCGUUAAGUCAGGGGUGAAAUACCAGAGCUCAACUCUGGAACUGCCCUUGAUACUGGCGAUAUUGAGUGUGAGAGAGGUAUGUGGAACUCCGAGUGUAGAGGUGAAAUUCGUAGAUAUUCGGAAGAACACCAGUGGCGAAGGCGACAUACUGGCUCAUUACUGACGCUGAGGCGCGAAAGCGUGGGGAGCAAACAGGAUUAGAAACCCGGGUAGUCC